CGAGAACGCUGGGCGGUCGUGCCCAACACUUGCAAGUCGAGCGGUAAGGCCCUACAGGAGCUACACGUGCGGCGAGGCGGGUGAGUCACAGGGAGGUGACGUGCCCUCAGCUAUGGGAUAAGCAGGAGGAAACUGGGUCUAAUCAAAGGAUAUGUCUCCAUGAGGCAUGUUGUGGGGUGGAGAACCUCAUGUGGUAUAGGAUGGGCGCGAGGCCUAUCACCUUGCAGGUGGAGUGAUGGCCUACCAUGGCGAAGGAGGAUAACCCACAUGAGAGGGCGGCCGGCCCCCCUGGUCCUGAGACACGCACCAGACUCGUAUGGGAGGCAACAGUGGGGAAUCUUGCCCAAUGGGCGAAAGCCUGACGCAGAGACGCCGCGUUAGGGAAGACGGCUUUGGGGUAAUAAACCUUUUUCAGGUCAAUAUACGCGGAAGUAACGGUAGCAUCAGAAGAAGCCCCGGCCCAAUUCGUGCCCGCCACCGCGGUAAUGAGUAGGGGGCCAAGGUUGUCUGGAAUUCUUGGGGGUAAAGAGCUGGUAGGGGGUCUGUCGAGUUGGCUGUGAAAACUCCAGGCUCAACUCCGAGAUUGCCGUCGAUACGGGCAGGAUAGAGUUCCGCAGGGGAGGAGGGAAUUUCUGGUGGAGCGGUGAAAUGGGCAGAUAUCCGGAGGAACACCGGUGGGGAAGAGGGGUUUUUGGGCCGAUACUGACGGUGAGGACAGAAAGGGUGGGGAGGCAACCGGAUUAGAUACCCUGGUAGUUCCCGCCGUAAACGUAGGACCAUUGGUGUUGGAUCCCUUCCACGGCUUCCGUGCCGCCGCUAACGCAUUAAGCGCCCCGCCUGGGGAGUACGGCCGCAAGGCUAAAACUCAAAUGAAUUGACGGGG
rnacentral:rRNA from 1 species